rnacentral:rRNA from 1 species
UACGUAGGGGGCGAGCGUUGUCCGGAUUUAUUGGGCGUAAAGAGCGCGCAGGCGGUCGUUCAAGUCGCGUGUGAAAGCCCCCGGCUCAACUGGGGAGGGUCACGCGAUACUGAUCGACUCGAAGGCAGGAGAGGGUAGUGGAAUUCCCGGUGUAGUGGUGAAAUGCGUAGAUAUCGGGAGGAACACCAGUGGCGAAGGCGACUACCUGGCCUGUUCUUGACGCUGAGGCGCGAAAGCUAGGGGAGCAAACGGG